rnacentral:rRNA from 1 species
UACGAAGGGGGCUAGCGUUGUUCGGAAUUACUGGGCGUAAAGCGCGCGCAGGCGGCUAUCCAAGUCAGUGGCGAAAGCCCGGAGCUCAACUCCGGAACUGCCAUUGAAACUGUUUAGCUUGAGUAUGAGAGAGGUGAGUGGAAUUCCUAGUGUAGAGGUGAAAUUCGUAGAUAUUGGGAAGAACACCGGUGGCGAAGGCGGCUCACUGGCUCAUUACUGACGCUCAGGCGCGACAGCGUGGGGAUCAAACAGG